GCUCCGUUCGUCUAGCUCGGUCCAGGACGCUGGCCUUUCAAGCCAGCAACUCGGGUUCAAAUCCCGGACGGAGCA
rnacentral:tRNA from 1 species